rnacentral:rRNA from 1 species
GACGAACGCUGGCGGCGUGCUUAACACAUGCAAGUCGAACGGAAAGGCCCUGCUUUUGUGGGGUGCUCGAGUGGCGAACGGGUGAGUAACACGUGUGUAACCUGCCCUUGACUUUGGGAUAACUUCAGGAAACUGGGGCUAAUACCGGAUAGGAGCUCCUGCUGCAUGGUGUGGGUUGGAAAGUUUCGGCGGUUGGGGAUGGACUCGCGGCUUAUCAGCUUGUUGGUGGGGUAGUGGCUUACCAAGGCUUUGACGGGUAGCCGGCCUGAGAGGGUGACCGGCCACAUUGGGACUGAGAGACGGCCCAGACUCCUACGGGAGGCAGCAGGGGGGAAUAUUGCACAAUGGGCGGAAGCCUGAUGCAGCAACGCCGCGUGCGGGAUGACGGCCUUCGGGUUGUAAACCGCUUUCGCCUGUGACGAAGAGUGAGUGACGGUAAUGGGUAAAGAAGCACCGGCUAACUACGUG